rnacentral:rRNA from 1 species
UACGUAGGGUGCAAGCGUUGUUCGGAUUCAUUGGGCGUAAAGGGUGCGUAGGCGGCGCGGUAAGUCGGGUGUGAAAUCUUGGAGCUUAACUCCGAAACUGCAUUCGAUACUGCCGUGCUUGAGGACUGGAGAGGAGACUGGAAUUUACGGUGUAGCGGUGAAAUGCGUAGAUAUCGUAAGGAAGACCAGUGGCGAAGGCGGGUCUCUGGACAGUUCCUGACGCUGAGGCACGAAGGCCAGGGGAGCAAACGGG